AAAAACUAUAAUAAAUAGAGUUGACUACUAAUCAGCACUGCUAUGUGCUAGGCACUACCCUAAAUAUUUAAUGCAAAUGAUCUAACUCAAUCUAUUUUAAAACCCGAGGUAGACCCUAUUAAUAUUUUCAUUGUAUAGAUGAGGCUCCGAGGCACAGAGAGAUCACUCAGUUAGUAAGUGGUAGAAUCAGGAUUCAGUCCAGAGCAGCUGACUCCAGAACCUACACGGCUAAACACAAGGAUACUGGAGUCGACUGCCUGGCUUCAAAUUCUGACUCCAUAUAGAGCACUUAGGUUACUGCCUGCCACCGGAGCAAAAGAUAGUUUUUCCCCACUUCUGCCAUCAAUUGAGAUUAGAGAAUCCACUCUGUCCUGAGACUGAUAUCCUGACAUGAUGAUGGAAAUAAUCAAGAGCCCAGUAGGGAAAGCUGCACAGGAAGAACAGAGAAAUAUUCCUAAUAUAUUAUCUCUGAGCCAAAGUCAUGGAAAUAGAUAAGAGCACCUUGAGGGAAUGUGGGAUGAGAAGAGAAGAGAAGAGAAGAGAAGAGAAGAGAAGAGAAGAGAAGAGAAGAGGAGAGGAGAGAAGAGAAUGUGGUGAGUGAGAAGAAGAUGGCAAAGGAAAUGAGCCAGCAAAAUAGAAUAAGAAAAGAUAAAAACAAUAUAAAAGAAAUAAAAAUGAAGAAGCAAGAGAAAAUGGUAUUUCUGAAAGCAAGAGAGCAUUUGUCUUCCCUUGGCCAUAUCACAACUAAAUCGUCCCUCAGUAUGAAAAUAGAGUACCAUUCUUCUAGUUUUGGAAUGAAUAAAUCAUGGGAACAAAGGCACAACAUAGGGAAUACAGUCAAUGAUAUUGCAGUAACGAUGUAUUAGGACAGAUGGUAGCUACCUACACUUGAGGUAAACAGCAUAAUGCAUAGAGAGGUAGAGCCACAGUGUCGUAUACCUGCAAAUAAUGUAACAUUGUGUGUCAACUAUAAAAAAUUAGAAACUAAAAAAACUUCCUCCCAAAAACAACAACAAAAAGAAAAUACACAACCAGGUGAAAAAAGAUAAACAUCUCGGCAGUAACAGUUAACACUUAAACAAACAAACCUAUGUUCUUGUUUCACCCUAAAAUUAACUUCUUUUAAUUUAAAUUGUAUUAUUCUGGAUUCACUGACGAAAUCUACAAUUACUUGAAAGCUGCCAUUCUUAGAUAAGCUAUUAGGCAUUAGACAUGCAUUUAAAUGGAUAGUUUUAAUUUUUUAUUUCUUACUUCAUAAUGAAGUAUUCUGGAAAGAAAAACAGUAGUACAUUCAGAUGCUGCUAUACACAGCACAUGCUUUUGUCAUAGAUAUUGUUCAAAAAUGGUUUUGGAAGAAUUAAUAAAUGAAUA